rnacentral:rRNA from 1 species
UACAGAGGUGCCAAGCGUUAGGCGGAAUCACUGGGCUUAAAGCGCGUGUAGGCGGGUCGUUAAGUGUCCGCGUGAAAUCCCACGGCUCAACCGUGGAACUGCCGGGCAUACUGGCGAUCUUGAGGCAUUCAGGGGCGAGCGGAACAAAUGGUGGAGCGGUGAAAUGCGUAGAUAUCAUUUGGAACGCCAAUGGUGAAAACAGCUCGCUGGGAAUGAUCUGACGCUGAGACGCGAAAGCCAGGGGAGCGAACGGG